ensembl:lncRNA
GGCUCAUCCCAUCUUCCUGUUUAUUUCUGAUGAGAGCAAUGACCGCGUCUGCACGGCGCGUCCCAGCCCUGCGUGCUCACAGCCACAUCCAGCCGGGCCCAGCUGUCCCUCGAGGGGAUGCCACGUAUCCCCCCCAGCCAUUGGGAUCCAUUGGGAUCCAUUGGGGUCUGGUUUUCCUCCACUCUGCGUCUCCCCAGCACGAUGGCUGUGCUCAGCCCCAGUGGCUGUGCAAAGCUUCUGUGUGGAACGAGAUUUAAAGCAGCGCAGCAAAGAGGUGAUAGAAAAACCAAACUCUAUUAAAAACCCAUUUUCUGCAGGACCACGAAGCCUUUUGGUGCCGCUGUCCUGGCCCUGCUGGGGAAUCGCUUAUGAUGACACGGCUGUGGGCAUGCAGCUGCAUCAGCACCCCCCCUUCGCCCAGGCCCAAAUCCGCUGCACCUCCAGCGCAGGGCACGGUGUGCCCAGCUGUCCCCAGCACAGGGCAGUGAGCUGCAGAGACAGUGACGCACGUGGAACCCAUCCUCCACCACCACCAUCCCCGUGCCACCGUGGGAGCGCUGGGGACAGCGUGUCCCGUGCAAGCAAUCACGCUCAGCUCUGCUGUCAUUGCUGCUGCCUGAGCCCCAGCAAUGCUUAUGAAUAAAUGAAAGGAGA